rnacentral:rRNA from 1 species
ACAUACGACCAUAGGGUGUGGAAAAUAGGGCUUCCCGUCCGCUCAGCCGUACUCAAGCCACACGCCGGUUAGUUAGUAGUAUGGUGGGUGACCACAUGCGAAUCCUGACUGUUGUAUGUU